CAUAUAAGUACUAUAUAUUCUAUGUAACUAAGGAUGCAUGUGACCUAUCUGAGGCUGUUGCUUUUUUGGUAACCAUCCAUGUAUUUCGAAAGAAGAUGGUGAUAAUAGACGAUGUCUGUCUGUCUUCUUUUUUUGCGAUAUACUAGUGCCAUCUAUCUGCCGGAGCCUGAAUAUAUGGCAGCCAGCAUGAAUAUUUGAUGUGCAAGUAACCGAAUCUGAUUAUGUUAUGUGGGUGACAAUCGAUUCACUUACUAUUGAGAUUAUGGUGUGAUGUGCUUCAUUAUAACCGAUAUAAAACUAUCUAUAGAGUAUCUAAUGUACC
rnacentral:lncRNA from 1 species